GGAAUAUUGGUCAAUGGCCGGAAGGCUGAACCAGCCAAGCCGCGUGAGGGAAGACGGCCCUAUGGGUUGUAAACUUCUUUUAUAUGGGAAUAAAACAGGGUAUGUAUACCAUUUUGUAUGUACCAUAUGAAUAAGGAUCGGCUAACUCCGUGCCAGCAGCCGCGGUAAUACGGAGGAUCCGAGCGUUAUCCGGAUUUAUUGGGUUUAAAGGGAGCGUAGGUGGAUUGUUAAGUCAGUUGUGAAAGUUUGCGGCUCAACCGUAAAAUUGCAGUUGAAACUGGCAGUCUUGAGUACAGUAGAGGUGGGCGGAAUUCGUGGUGUAGCGGUGAAAUGCUUAGAUAUCACGAAGAACUCCGAUUGCGAAGGCAGCUCACUGGACUGUUGACUGACACUGAGGCUCGAAAGUGUGGGUAUCAAACAG
rnacentral:rRNA from 1 species